UACGUAGGCAGCGAGCGUUGUUCGGAGUUACUGGGCGUAAAGGGUGUGUAGGCGGUUGUUUAAGUUUGGUGUGAAAUCUCCCGGCUCAACUGGGAGGGUGCGCCGAAUACUGAAUGACUAGAGUGCGGGAGAGGAAAGUGGAAUUCCUGGUGUAGCGGUGAAAUGCGUAGAUAUCAGGAGGCACACCGGUGGUGUAGACGGCUUUCUGGACCGUAACUGACGCUGAGACACGAAAGCGUGGGUAGCAAACAGG
rnacentral:rRNA from 1 species